GUGCUCGCUUCAAUAGCACAUAUACUAAAAUUGGAACAACAGAGAGAUUUAGCAUGGCCCUUGCGCAAGGAUGACACGCAAAUUCAUGAAGCAUUCCAUAUUAUA